UUUCCGUAGGUGAACCUGCGGAAGGAUCAUUCAUAAUAAAGUGUUUUAUGGCACUUUUUAAAAAUCCACAUCCACCUUGUGUGCAAUGUUAGAUCUCGUCAAUCUUGGCGAGAUUUUUAUACAUCAACUCAUUUUUUAACUAAUUUGUCUGAAAGAUAUUAUGAAUACUUAAUUCAAAAUACAACUUUCAACAACGGAUCUCUUGGCUCUC
rnacentral:misc_RNA from 1 species